rnacentral:sRNA from 1 species
CUCGAGCGCCAGCGAGAGAACGUUGCCGCAGGCAACGGCCCGAAGGGCGAGGCGCUUUAGCGCCGAGUAAUCCUUCCCCCACCACCA